GUGGGGAAUAUUGGACAAUGGGCGAAAGCCUGAUCCAGCCAUGCCGCGUGUGUGAAGAAGGUCUUCGGAUUGUAAAGCACUUUAAGUUGGGAGGAAGGGCAGUAAGUUAAUACCUUGCUGUUUUGACGUUACCGACAGAAUAAGCACCGGCUAACUUCGUGCCAGCAGCCGCGGUAAUACGAAGGGUGCAAGCGUUAAUCGGAAUUACUGGGCGUAAAGCGCGCGUAGGUGGUUGUGUAAGUUGGAGGUGAAAUCCCCGGGCUCAACCUGGGAACUGCCUCCAAAACUGCAUGACUAGAGUACGGUAGAGGGUAGUGGAAUUUCCUGUGUAGCGGUGAAAUGCGUAGAUAUAGGAAGGAACACCAGUGGCGAAGGCGACUACCUGGACUGAUACUGACACUGAGGUGCGAAAGCGUGGGGAGCAAACAGGAUUAGAAACCCCGGUAGUCC
rnacentral:rRNA from 1 species